GAUGAACGCUGGCGGCGUGCCUAAUACAUGCAAGUCGAGCGGACGGACGCAAGGUUUCCUUCUCUGAUGUUAGCGGCGGACGGGUGAGUAACACGUGGGUAACCUACCUAUCAUCCUGGGAUGCCUUCGGGACACCGGCGCUUAUACCGGAUAAUAUUUUGAACCGCAUGGUUCAAAAAUGAAAUACGGUCUUGCUGUCACUUAUAGAUGUAUCCGCGCUGCAUUAGCUAGUUGGUAAGGUAACGCCUUACCAGGGCAACGAUGCGUAGCCGGCCGUAGAGGGGGAUCGGCCCUGCUGGAAUGGAGACACGGUCCAGACUCCUACGACAGGCAGCAGUAGGGAAUGUGGCGGAAGGGGGGAAAGCCUGACGGAGCAACGCAGCGUGAGGGAUGAAGGUCGUCGGAUCGUAAAACUCUGUUAUGAGGGAAGAACAUAUGUGUAAGUAACAGUGCACAUCUUGACGGUACCUAAUGAGAAAGCCACGGCUAACUACGUG
rnacentral:rRNA from 1 species